CCGAAGAAGAAAAAAACACCAUCUUAUAUGUUUAUGUUAGGCUACUCAGCAGGCGCUCGCUCACUCAGUACGCGCUGAAGGCUCGUUGCAAAAUAGCCAAUGCGUUUAACAGACCAGAAAUGAGAAGAUCCCCCAAUAACCAACAGGUCUGGUGUUUGGGUGCACUUUGGAUUCCCUUUAAGCUAUAAUGGUGAUGGCAAGAGAGUGGUGGAUAAAAAAAACAACGGUAUGUCGCAUCUGCAACAUGACAGGGUACACCAGCGGGAAUAAAAAAAAAAAAAAAAAAAACACCAGCGGGAAUAUCUGGGAUA